UAAGAAGGGUGCAAGCGUUACUCGGAAUUACUGGGCGUAAAGCGUGCGUAGGUGGUGAGUUAAGUCUGAUGUGAAAUCCCCGGGCUCAACCUGGGAAUGGCAUUGGAUACUGGCUCGCUAGAGUGCGGUAGAGGGUGGUGGAAUUCCCGGUGUAGCAGUGAAAUGCGUAGAGAUCGGGAGGAACAUCUGUGGCGAAGGCGGCCACCUGGACCAACACUGACACUGAGGCACGAAAGCGUGGGGAGCAAACAGG
rnacentral:rRNA from 1 species